rnacentral:rRNA from 1 species
AGGGUUCGAUUCUGGCUCAGGAUGAACGCUGGCGGCGUGCUUAACACAUGCAAGUCGAACGGAGACAAACGCCGAUUGAAGCUUCGGCAGAAAUCAUGUUUGUCUUAGUGGCGGACGGGUGAGUAACGCGUGGGUAACCUGCCUUAUACCGGGGGAUAACACUUAGAAAUAGGUGCUAAUACCGCAUAAGCGCACAGCUUCGCAUGAAGCAGUGUGAAAAACUCCGGUGGUAUAAGAUGGACCCGCGUCUGAUUAGCCAGUUGGUGAGGUAACGGCUCACCAAAGCAACGAUCAGUAGCCGGCCUGAGAGGGUGAACGGCCACAUUGGGACUGAGACACGGCCCAAACUCCUACGGGAGGCAGCAGUGGGGAAUAUUGGACAAUGGGGGAAACCCUGAUCCAAGCGACGCCGCGUGAGUGAAGAAGUAUUUCGGUAUGUAAAGCUCUAUCAGCAGGGAAGAUAAUGACGGUACCUGACUAAGAAGCCCCGGCUAACUACGUGCCAGCCGCCGC